rnacentral:rRNA from 1 species
GACGAACGCUGGCGGCGUGCUUAACACAUGCAAGUCGAACGGUGAAGCGCCUUCCUUUUUGGUGGGUGUGGAUGAGUGGCGAACGGGUGAGUAACACGUGAGUAACCUGCCCCCUUCUUCUGGAUAACCGCAUGAAAGUGUGGCUAAUACGGGAUAUUCUGGGUCUGUCGCAUGAUGGGUCUGGGAAAGAUAUUGUUUCGGUGGGGGAUGGGCUCGCGGCCUAUCAGCUUGUUGGUGGGGUGAUGGCCUACCAAGGCGGUGACGGGUAGCCGGCCUGAGAGGGUGGACGGUCACACUGGGACUGAGACACGGCCCAGACUCCUACGGGAGGCAGCGGUGGGGAAUAUUGCACAAUGGGCGCAAGCCUGAUGCAGCGACGCCGCGUGAGGGAUGGAGGCCUUCGGGUUGUGAACCUCUUUCGCCAGUGAAGCAGGCCUGCCUCGUUUGUGGGUGGGUGGACGGUAGCUGGAUAAGAAGCGCCGGCUAACUACGU